AUAUAUAUAUAAUAUAUAUAUACUACCAUUUUUUUCUCAGUCGUCGCUACAGAGACGUAUCUGCCAUACAAAAGACCCUCUUCACAUUCUUCGAAAAUCGGGCAGCUAUGUUGUUACCUUUUCGUGCAGACAAUUCGUAGGGUCGGUGAGAGGAUCGAGCCUGCAACCGUGCAGCAUCGUGACUGUAAAUAGUUGUGAAUCAUAAUUAAAGUAGUAAGUUAUAUCUUGUAAUAAUCCCAUGGGAAAUAAAUCUGACGGUCAAUAUCACACAUAGUUCCUAAUUUCUUGAGAAUUUCAAAGGAGGCCCAGUGUAGACGUCAGUGUAUUAGUUCAUACUCUCUUCAAACCCAGUGGUUUCGAGUUGCUCGUACAUCAGUCAUCAUCAGUAGCGCCAAGCCCUGUGAAUGGAAUGAAGGCCAUCCUGCACUUAACCUUCAUUCAUUACAUUAGCAGACUGAGAGUGGCACUACUGUCAGUCAAUAUCUUUGUCAGUUUCAGAGAAUCCUCUAUCUUGUCCUGUUGAAGUAUUCUAUCCAUGUUUGCAAAAUAUAUAAGCGUAUAUGAUUUAUACUACAGCCUUACACCUUUCAGGUGCCCCGGGUUUCAGGAUGCAAAACGUAGAUUGAACAUCGGUUGACUGUACUGAUUGGAUGAGAAAUCUCACCAGGUGAAGGUGGAGCGAAUGAGGUCGCAUGCAAAUGAAAAACUGAUGAACAAACUAGCAGCUGCCAGACGACGUGCAGAGGAGCUUCGUGCAAAGGCUGAGGCCCUUCGGUGUGAGCAAGCAGCCAAGACAGCUACUCGGUCUGAGGACAUUCGCCGCACGGGGAAAGUCCCAACGUCUUUCUUUGGCCACCUCUGUGGGUGAGAUCCCAGCCGCUGCCAGAUUACGUAGCCUAGCAGCAGCUCCAAAGGUCACCAC
rnacentral:lncRNA from 1 species